GAGUGUAUAGGUCAGAGGUAGAGCUCAUGCUUAGCAUGCAUGAAGUCCUGGGUUCAAUCCCCAGUACCUCCA
rfam:Camelus ferus unplaced genomic scaffold scaffold1812, whole genome shotgun sequence.